rnacentral:tRNA from 1 species
UGGGGUGUGGCUCAGUGGUAGAGUGCUUGCCCAGUAUGUAUAGGCCCUGGGUUCUAUCCCUAGCACCUUAG